rnacentral:lncRNA from 1 species
CUGAUUUCUGCUUUAAUACAUGCAGAUACGUUAUUUGGUUUUCCAUUGGCAGUCCCCAGUUUCUGGAGACCAAGUUUCAAACUCUGAGAACUCUGCUGUGACUUUGAAGGGGGCUGAAGAACACUUUUGCAGAAGCUUUCCACAGGAAGAGCUGGCAUCCGUAUCUUCCUUGCAGAUGGAAGCAGAGUGGCCUGUGUCUGCAGCAUUUGAUUGGCUGAUAACUCACCGAGGCUCUUCCUGGCUUAAGAGUUUAACAGCUGCCACAGAUCAAUUGCUGGACUAUUUGUUUUGGUAAAUUGCCCUUCUGUCUUUCAUGUCAUUCAAUAUCACAGAGAAAUACCACUUUAUAAUAAACUGACAGAAGAUUGUGAAGCCUUUCA